rnacentral:rRNA from 1 species
UACGGAGGGUGCAAACGUUGUUCGGAAUUAUUGGGCGUAAAGAGCAUGUAGGCGGUCUGUCAAGUCUGAUGUGAAAGCCCGGGGCUCAACCCCGGAAGUGCAUUGGAAACUGGCAGACUUGAGUACGGGAGAGGAAAGUGGAAUUUCGAGUGUAGGGGUGAAAUCCGUAGAUAUUCGAAGGAACACCAGUGGCGAAGGCGGCUUUCUGGACCGAUACUGACGCUGAGAUGCGAAAGCGUGGGGAGCAAAC